GGCAGUGGCAUUGGACCAGGUCUUCCUUUCCAGUCCUGGGAAAUGUCAUUUUCUGCUCGUUUGAUGGCAAUGUAGCAGCUCUAGUGCACGAUGCCAACGUCAAUUCUGGCUUCGAGUGCUAGUUGACCAAUGGCGGUGAAUCAAAUUUCGAAAUUUCAAGUAAGGCAACCACAAGCACCGAAUAUACAGCAUAUGACCACAUUUCAUGCACGUAAAUCGCUCCAUUCAUAUUUUCAGAUGACUUCUUAAGCAAUAAAAAGGUUACAAAGCUGAUCCUCCAUUAUGAAAAUCUAUUGCUGUCUCUAUACAAUUACACAUGCAUAAGAAAAGAACUAUCCAUUUUCGUAAAUAAAUUGCUGCUGCGGGCUGCAUAUAUCUUUUUGUACAAGUAGCAGUCAAGGUCGGUCACAUGUCAUGCAACAAUGCAAUGGUUCGUGCAGAAAAUAUACUGACCUCCAGCAUAACAGAUUACUCUGCC
rnacentral:lncRNA from 1 species